CCGUUUAUUUAUUUGCUUUGACAUAAAAAUGUAGAAAGAAAAGUUUUGAUGUAUGUCAUGUUCUGCGCAAAUGCCAUAACUGGUAAGCUUAACCAAAGACUUUUAUCUACUAUAUAUAUAGUACAUUCUCUAUUACCAUUCUAAUACUAUAGACAUAAUACUCAAGAAAAUAUAGAAAAUGUUUUCUUUUGCAAAUACAUCACAAGCACAUUUGAGUUCAUCGUUAGCAAGAGGUAGUCAGCAGUCUAAUAGCCAAUCUUCGCCAUUCCAAAAAUCACCAUGUGAGGAGAAGUGCUUUAGCACCUAUAAAAAGCAAGUAAACACCAAUUAAUUAAGGAUGUGUUUGGUAUGAAGAAACAUGUGUGCUAUAUGUGAAGAGGAAAAAGUGAUGAACUUUUCUCAUUAUAAAGAGAAAAUAUGAUAUUAAAAUUAAACAUAUCCUUGUAUCCUAUUUUGAUCAAAUUUUUUAUUCUAUGAGUUAACAGCUUGUGCCAACCUAGACUCUCCUUACCUAGUAUUGCUCGUUAUAUAUUCUUUUGGAAUAAUACAAUUCCACUGGUAGUAUAUGUUUUUGUCAUGACCCAAAAUCUUACUAGUCGUGAUGGCACCUGACCCAACCCGUAAGAUAAGUCAAUUAACAACUAUCCAAUUUAAUGAGAUUUAUUAAGAAAAAAAUGAUAAUACAACUGCUUUUAUACAAGAAUUUCCCAAGAUUUGGUAGUAUAAAUCAUGAGUUUCUAAAAUUUAGAGUUUACAAAGCUAGUAUGAAAUAAAUACAUCAUUUGUCCGAAUGUACAUAAACAGAUUUUCGUAAGUCUAGGGCUACCAUGAACAAGAGGCAGUUAUAACUGGAACGCAUGUAUGUCUUCAAUGAUAGCUUCCAUCAAACACAGCAACAUCAACGUCCAAAAUCUGUGCGCAAGGUGCAGAAGUAUAAUAUGAGUAAAACCGACCCUGUGUACUCAAUAAGUAACAAACCUAACUUUAGGUUGAAAGUAGUGACGAGUUGGGAUAAAAGUCAAAGUUCAACAACAGCUCAUAACAAUAUAAUAAAAGUGGUACAGGAAAUAACUCAGAGAGGUAAUGUUCAACUCAUUUACAGUUCCGAAAAAUAGGCAUACUUUUCAAGUAUAACAGUGAAAACCCAAAUCUUUUACCGAAAGUACCAAAAUAUGAGUAAGUUUGUAAAAUCGCGAUUUUCUUUCCAAAAUUUUUCAACAUGUAAACGUUUCAUUAUCAAAUGGCAUGAGGAAAAGUACAUCUUUAUGCCUACAUGUCAAUGUGUAUGAGAAGUCAUGAAUGACGUGAUACCGUACAACAUGUGAAAAAAUACAUCUCUAUGCAUGUAUUGUCAUGUGUGCAUGUCGAAUGCAGUACAACAUAGUGAAUAAUCAUAUGCAUACUCUCAGAGUAUCAAUCCACUCAGUCUUCUCAGUCCACCCAAUCACUCGGCACUCACGCUCGGCACUUGCACUCAAUAGGUACCUGCGCUCACUAUAGGUGUGCAGACUCUGGAGGGGCUCCUUCAGUCCAAGCGCUAUAAUGAGCCAAUCAUGGCAUGAAUCUGCAUGGACAACUCACGUACUGCAGGGACAACUCAUGUACCAUAAUAUCAAUAUCUAGAUCUGCACGGAUAACUCACGUAUUAUGGUAUCAAUAUUUGGAUCCACACGAACAACUUACGUGUUACACGGACAACUCACGUGCCAUGAUAUCAAUAUCUGGAUCCUCACUUACAACUCACGUGCUAUGGUAUCAAUAACCUCACAACCAGGCCCUCGGCCUCACUCAGUCAUCAAUCUCUCCAGUCUCCCGGGUUCACAAUAUCAUGAAACUAGCCCAAAAUGAUGAUAUGAUGUAUCAAUAAAUAACAACAGAGACUGAGAUAUGAUAUGCAAUGAAUGUAUAUGACUGAGUACAAAAUUAUAAUUUAAACAUAUAAUUCGACAGCAAAAACGACCUCAGUGGGUCCCAUUAAUAGUAGCAUUUGCCUAAGAAUGAUUUCUAACAUGAAUCACGGCUUAGUUUCUCUAACCCAUGAAACAAAUCAAGUUAAUUGACUACAUAGCUCUACCGAAUCCACUGAGUCUCAAUUUUUACGGUGCACGCCCAUCACCUAGCAUGUGCGUCACCUCCAAGCAAAUCACAUAAUAUGUAUAAUCAAGGUUCAUACCCUCAGCUCCAAGUUUAGAAGUGUUACUUACCUCGAACAAGCCAAAUUCAAUACUGAGCAAGCCAAACGAUGCUCCAAAAUACCAUCCCGCGUGUACCGACCUCUGAACGGCUCGAAACUAGCCAAAAGCAACUCAAAUACAUCAAAUAAAGUUUAAGAAAAUAAGUCCAAUUGAUAAAGGUCGUAUAUUUACUCAAAAUCCCAAAAUCAACCAAAAACCAAACCCGGGCCCGUACCUUGGAACCCAAUGAAAUUUAUAAAAUCCGACAACUCAUUCAAUUACGAGUCCAACCAUACUAGUUUCGCUCAAAUCCGACUCCGAAUCAAUAUUCAAAAUUCAAAAACUCACUCUAUAAAACUUUAGGCUAUAACCCUCAAUUUCUUUUUAAACUUCAUCAACCAAUUUUUAAAAAUGAAGAUGGAUUCAUAAAAUAAAAUCAAAGCCAAGCAUAAAACACUUACCCCAAUCCUUGUGAUGAAAUUUGCUUCAAAAAUCGUCUCAAUCCGAGCCCCCAAUCUCAAAAUAUGAUGAAAGGACCAAAACCUCGAAAUAUAUAGAAUCUGCCCGGGCAUCGUCACAUCUGCGACACACUUAGCUGCUCUCUUUUGCGACAAACGUUCCGCUUCUGCAGAGAGGCACUAGAGAAAUGGCCCUCGCACCUGCGGAAAAACGUCCGCUCCUGCGCUCAAAAUCUCGCAUCUGCGCACACGCAGGUGCGCUACAAAAAUUCGCUUCUGUGGUCUUCCUUCUGUUAAUUGAGUCACAUCUCAAUUUCUCAAACACAUGAAAAAUACAUAAAAAAAAAUAUAAGUUAAUUGACUACACAGCUCUACCGAAUCGGCUAAGUCUCAAUUUCUACGGUGCACAUCUGUCACCUAGCAUGUGCGUCACCUCCAAGCAAAUCACAUAACACGUAUAAUCAGGGUUCAUACCCUCAGCUCCAAGUUUAGAAGUGUUACUUACCCCGAACAAGCCAAAUCCAAUACCGAGCAAGCCAAACGAUCCUCCAAAAUACCAUCAUGCGCGUACCAACCUCUGAACGGCUCGAAACUAGCCAAAAGCAACUCAAAUACAUCAAAUAAAGUAUAAGGAAAUAAGUCCAAUUGAUAAAGUCGAAUAUUUACUCAAAAGCCCAAAAUCAACCAAAAACAAACUCGGGCCCGUACCUCGGAACCCAAUGAAACUUAUAAAAUCCGACAACCUAUUCAAUUAUGAGUCCAACCAAACUAGUUUCGCUCAAAUCUGACUCUGAAUCAAUAUUCAAAAUUUAAAAACUCACUCUAUAAAACUUUAGGAUAAAACCCCAAAUUUAUUUUUAAAAUUUAUCAACCAAUUGCCAAAAAUGAAGAUGGAUUCAUAAAAUAAAAUCAAAGCCAAGUAUAAAAUACUUACCCCAAUCCUUGUGAUAAAAUUUGCUUCAUAAAUCGUCUCAAUCCGAGCCCCCAAUCUCAAAAUAUGAUGAAAGGAAAAAAACCUUGAAAUAUAUAGAAUUUGCUCAGGCAUCGUCGCAUCUGUGACACACUUAGCCGCUUCUGCGGCGUCGUUUUUGCGAUAAACGUUCCACUUCUAUAGAGAGGCACUGGAGCAAUGGCCCUUGCACCUACGGAACAAUAUCUGCUCCUGCGACAUCGCAGGUGCGACACAAGGACCCGCAUCUGCGCCAACUCCCGUUCCUGCACUCAAAAUCUUGCAUCUGCGCGCACGCAGGUGCGCUACAAAAAUCCGCUUAUGCGGUUUUCCUUCUGUUAAUUGAGUCACAGCUCAGUUUGUCUAACACAUAAAAAAAUAUAUGAAAUAAUACAAGUUAAUUGACUACACAACUCUAACAAAUCGACUGAGUCUCAAUUUCUACCGUGCACGCCCGUCACCUAACAUGUGCGUCACCUCCAAGAAAAUCACAUAACACGUAUAAUCAGAGUUCAUACCCUCAACUCCAUGUUUAGAAGUAUUACUUACCUCGAACAAGCCAAAUCCAAUACCAAGCAAGCCAAACGAUGCUCCAAAAUAUCAUCCCGUGCGUACCGACCUCUGAAUGGCUUGAAACUAGCCAAAAGCAACUCAAAUACAUCAAAUAAAGUCUAAGGAAAUAAGUCAAAUUAAUAAAGGUUGAAUAUUUACUCAAAAGCACAAAAUCAACCAAAAACCAAACCCGGACCUGCACCUCGGAACCCGAUGAAACUUAUAAAAUCCGACAACCCAUUCAAUUACGAGUCCAACCAUACUAGUUUCGCUCAAAUUCGACUCAGAGUCGAUAUUCAAAAUUUAAAGGCUCACUCUAUGAAACUUUAGGCUAAAACCCCCAAUUUCUCUUUAAAAUUCAUCAACCAAUUGCCAAAAAUGAAGAUGGAUUCAUAAAAUAAAAUCAAAUUCAAGUAUAAAACACUUACUCCAAUCCUUGUGAUGAAAUUUGAUUCAAAAAUCGUCUCAAUCCGAGUCUCCAAUCUCAAAAUAUGAUAAAUGGAUCAAAACCUCAAAAUAUAUAGAAUCUGACGAGGCAUCGUCGCAUCUGCGACACAUUUAGCCGCUUCUGCAGCGUCGCUUUUGCGACAAACGUUCCGCUUUUGCAGAGUGGCACUAUAGAAAUAGCCCUCGCACCUGUGGAAAAAUAUCCGCUCCUGCGACAUCGCAGGUGCAACACAAGGACCCGCAUCUGCGCCAACUCCCGCUCCUAUGCUCAAAAUCUCGAAUCUGCGCGCACGCAGGUGCGCUACAAAAAUCCGCUUUUGCGGUCUUCCUCACCUAUAAUAUAAUACGGACCUACUCGAGGCCUCAAAUUACUCAUAACAAUAUCGAAACGAUGAAUCACACCUCAAUUCGAACUUGAAUGAAUUUUGAACUUUCAACUUCCAAAACGCGCGCCGAAACAUAUCAAAUCAACCCGAAAUGAACCCAACUUUUGCAAACAAGUCCCAAAUAACAUAACGAAACUAUUCAAGUUCCCAGAACUACAAUCCGAAUCCGAUAUCAUCAAAGUCAACUUCCGGUCAAACUUAUGAACUUUCCAAACCUUCAAAUUUCCAACUUUCGCCAAUUAGCGCCGAAUACUUCUAGAAUUAUCCAACGCUCAAAACGACCGGUCGGAUCGUUACAGCUUUUACAAUUUGUUAAAUUCAAAACCCGUUAUCAGCUUUCUCAACAUAUGCUUCUUUUUUCUGGAGGUCAUUAUUACUAUUUUUCAAAUUCAUGUUCAUCAUAUACAUGAGCUUUUGCUCCCUUCAGUUUAUCUUCUGAAUUGGAAUAUACUUAAACUGUCAAGUUUCUCAUUCUUCUUUCACAUUUGACCUUUUCUUGUUCCCAGAAAUAUCAUCAUAUUCAUUUUUAUUAGUCUAUUCAAGUUAGGACUCACAUCAUCUUCAAAUGUCGAUGUAGCUAUUCAAGAAAUAUAAGAAAUCAAAUAGCUUACUAAGAUAGUUUUUUCUUUGUUUUUUGGGACAAAGGCUUGCUAAGAUAAGCACUAAAGAGAUGAAAUACACGUAAACAUCCUCCUAUACUGACUGAAGGAUGGAUAAAGAAGAAAACUUACUCUUUUUCUAUAAUGAAAUGAGUGACAAUACCUGAAUGGAAUGUUCACUGUGAAAACCCAAAAGUGCCUCCGCUACAAGUUUUGAAAAAACAUUUUAUCCUGAAAUUCAAAGAGAAGUGUAAAAGUAAUAUGAAUGUAGAAAGUAGUAGCCGCGAGAAGAAGUCUAAUUCAACAAUUAUUAUUUUAAACUUCCGGUGUCUAAGCCUUUCACUUGACUUAUUGACUUCUUUGGAAAUUGUUUGUCUAUGCAUGUGAAGAACUUAAAACAUAGUUCAAGACAUAUUUGUUUAGAAUCAUUGGACCAUCCUUUUAAAUUUCAAACAGGGCUUUAAUCGAAUAAAGUGUUAUAAAAAGAAAAGCAAUCUCUAAACUUGAAAGCAAACAGUAGGCCAGUACUUUAGGAAACAGGAACACCUAAUAGAUGCUAUUAUAUUCCAAUAAAUAUGCUCUUAAGAAUGGAUUAGAGAAGAUGUCAGCACAGUUGGAAAAAACAAACAGGAGAGGGGGAAGAAACAAACAGCAAUUACCACAAAAUAAAAGAGAACCCGCCAUUUUUAGAGCAAAGAUGCGUAACACUCUAACUACCUCAAUUUUCGAGGUAAAAUAAUUACUCCGCAAAUAAAGCGAAAUGCAAAAAACCAACGUUGACGCUUCCACAUGGGAGAAACUUUCUCUGGUGAAAUCAACUAAAUAUUAAGCAUGAAGCAGGAUGAGAAAAGAAAACAAUGAAGAAGCUGAGAGAGAACGUCGCAGGUUUUGUGAAGACAAUUCUCGUCACUCAAUUUUCUUAGCUGAGUCAACUGAUUCAGUUAAUAUUUAUUUCCAAUGUACUUGGAGUUUUUGAUUCUUCAUGAAUUCAAUUUUUUCCGCAAGUAUUUCUAAUUCUUGCAUAUAAAAGGAUAUGUUUAAGGCCUUAAGUCUCAAAAUAUAUGACUGAAAAUAUUUUUGAGGGUAUUUAAUUGUUAAUUCUAAGGCUCCAAUGCUAUUCAGCCAAUUGGUCAAACAUAUGACAUGCAAUUACAAGAAAAUAUAUGAAAGAGCGAUAUGAAUUAGCCAUCUCAAUGCAAUUAGAGCAAAGUAAUCAUAGCAACCCUUCACCAAUUUUACACAACCAUCAAAACAGUCCAAAAUAAGAAGAAAAACAAAAGAUAUCUAUCAAAAUCUCAUCACCAAGACACAAGUAAAACAAAUAAAGGAAAAAGAGAACAAAGGCCAAAAACACAAAGAGCGAAACUGUAAAAACCAACAUAUAUCAUCACAAUUCCAUUACUAAGAAACUCCACAGAAUUCACAUUUAUGAUAAACCCCAAAACCAAAGAGCAAAUGAAAGAAUGUAGAAAUCAAGUAGAAGCUAAUGGCCAUAGUGAACAAGAAACUAAGGAAAAGAUGGAAUAGAGUAAUAAUCGAGCAGAAAGACUUAAGAUUAAACUCAAAUUUCAACUCAAAAAGGGAUUAUCACCUGAUUUUUGCUCUUUCUCGGUGCAACGCUUUGAUAAUGGUGAAUUGUUGCUGUACUGCCUUUUCUCCGUGCAUGCCUAGAAAAUUCCAGAUUGAUAUAUUGAGUAGAAAGAGAGAAAAGGGAAAGAGAUGCAAACCUAUAACAAUCACAAGUAGACUUAUCGGUGGGCAAAAAAGCCACGUAUAUGUAUGAUUUAAUAAAAGUGAUGCAAUAUGACUAAAUUGCCCUCGAGCUUUUUGAAAAAGACAUUAAGCAGACACGUCGAAACUCAAGCGCUUCUAAUAUAUUUAAAAAUAAGCACCAAUCACUUAGUGUUGUUUAACAAGAGGGAUGUAAAGGGUAGGGCCAUCUGCUGCUGGGAAUAAACCUUCCAUAGAAAUAUUAUUUUCGGUAAUAACAACGAAUAAUAACGUAGUACCGAUAUACGGUAAUCAACAAGAAUAAAAAAAAAUAAAGACACAAAGAUUUUAACGUGGAAACCCUUAUGAAUAAGAAAAAAAAUCACGAGCCCGAGAGGAGAAAAGUAAUCCACUAUAAUGAGGAAUUUUACACUAUGUAAUCCUGAGUAAAUACUCGAGAGACCACUAUGCACUCAUAACCCUUUUUUAAGAUUCACACCUCACUAUAAUAUCGCUCACAGUCUCUAUUUUCUCUCAUACACUACACCGCCUGUGAAUGGCUCACACUACUCUCUAACUCUCAGAUAUAUUUUCCUCUCAGAUUGUAUGUCUGAAAAGAGAGCUGAAGCUCUCCUUACAUAGAAGGGAUAGUUGCCCCAAUUAACUAAUUAGAAGAUUGUAUCUCAAUUUACAACUUGCACUAUGCAAUUUGCAACGCAAAUUGGUUGCCAACUUUAAAACUUAUUUUUGCUAGCAUUAAAUUCCCUUUAUUUUCUUUGUUCUAUUAAUGGGUAUGGACCCCAUCAAUCUCCCCUCUAGAUCCAUUCACCGGAAGAAGAUAAUACUUGGGUUGCUAGUUUGAGUGCAUGCCGACAAGCUUUUUGCAUAGCUCGAACUUGUCUCGUGGUACCACCUUGGUUAGCAUUAUGCAAGAUUUCACUAGUGAAAAUCUUCAGAACUUGCGGAGAUUCACUCUCUACCUUUUCUCGGAUCCAGUGAUAUCUUACAUCGAUAUGUUUGAUCCUUGCAUGGUACAUGGAGUGCUUGUUCAGGUCUAUUGCACUUUGGCUGUCACAAUAGACAGCAUACUAUUUUUGAUGCAAGCCAAGCUUUUGAAGGAACCGUUUCAUACAUAUCAUCUUUUUGCCAGUUUCAGUAAUGGCAAUGUACUCUACUUCAGUUGUAGAGAGUGUGACACACUUCUACAACCUCGAAUGCCAUGAUAUAGCACCCCCCUAAAAAUGUAAAAAAAUAUCAAGUAGUGGAUGUUCUAUUAUCAUAGUCACCUACCAUAUCAGCAUCUGUAUAGCUCUUCAAGAUUGGAUCAGAUCCUUCAAAGCACAAACAAUCUCCUACGUUACCUCUCAAGUGACUGAGUAUCCACUGGACUGCUUCCUAGUGUUCUUUUAAAUGAUUUUCAAGAAACAUGCUGACAACACCAACUGCGUGAGUAAUAUCAGGUCUAGUGCAUACUAUUGCAUACAUCAAAUGUCUGACACAUCUUCCAUUAUUGUAGGACACAUCUUCUUGCUUAACUUAGCAAGAGGUGUGCUGACUAGCUUAACACUCUUCAUGUUGAAGCAUUCCAGUACACGUUCAAUGUACUUUUUCUUAGACAACCACAACUUUUUACUUGUUCGCUAUCGAACAAUCUUCAUUCCCAGAAUUUAUUGUGCUGGGCCCAAGUCCUUCAUAUCAAAUGACUUGGACAAUCCCUUCAACUUUUCAAUCAACUCCUUAUUUCGUCAUACAAUUAACAUGUCAUCCAUAUACAACAACAAAAUAAUAAUAUUGUUGUCAGAGAAUCUUUUAAAGUAUACACAUGGAUCAUAAUAUGUCUUUAUGUAAGUUUGACUUUUCAUGAAUGAGUCAAACUUCUUGUACCACUACCUUAGUGCAUGUUUCAAUCUAUAAAGACUCUUAUUCAAUUUGCACACCAUGUGUUUCUUUCCAUAUACAUCAAAUCCUUUUGGCUGCUCCAUAUAAAUCUCUUCUUCCAAAUCUCCGUGAAGAAAUGCAGUUUUCACGUCCAACUGCUCCAUAUCAAGAUCUAGGCUAGUUGUUAAGCUCAAAAUUGUUCGAAUAGAAGUCAUUUGACAACAUGUGAGAAAAUUUUGUCAAAAUCAAUACCUUUUUCUGUUCGAAGCCUUUUACCACCAAUCGAUCUUUGUAUCUGACCAGCUUGCCAUUUUCAUCUUUCUUGAGUUUAAAGACCCAUUUUCAUUUGAGUGGUCUAUUACCCUUUGGAAGUUCAACCAGCUUGUAUGUGUCAUUUUUCUGUAGAUAUUCCAUCUCUUCUUGCAUAGCUCUCAUCCACUUGUUCUUUUCUAGAUAGAACAUCAUCUCUUUAAGACUUUCUGUCUCCCCCUCAUCACUGAUGAUGACAUACUCUAUGGAAGGGUACCUACAUGACUCUACCCUUGGCCUCUCUGAUCUCCUUAGAGGUUGAGGUUGUUCUUCCUCUUGAGUGGGGUACUCCACUUGAUCUACAUCAUCAUCAAGUUACUCCCCCUGCUCAAUAACCUCACCAGGUUGCUCCCCCUACUUGGCAACCUUGUCGAUUGUACUUUUUGCUCUUGUGGGAUUGCUAGAAGUAUAGGGAAUGGUAACAAGGUUAGGGAUUAUACCAUUCUUGGCCUUCUCUCAUUGAUCAUCUACAACUCCAACUUCACUUUCUUGGAAGAUUACAUCUCUGCUUCUGAUGACCUUCUUCUUUACAUGAUCCCACAAUCCGUACCCAGACUCUUUAUCUCCAUAUCCGAUGAAUAUGAAGGGAACAUUUUUAUCAUCCAGCUUUGUUCUCUGCUCCUUUGGUACAUGUGCAAAAGCUCUGCAACACCUUCAUAUUUAAGUAGGACACCUCCUUAUUGGUCUAAACUCUCUUUGGGAUAUCAACCUCCAAUGGAACUAGUGGAGUUCUAUUGAUCAGGUAACUUGUUGUCUGGACUACUUCACCCUAGAAUGACUUGGAAGUUUAGCCAUUCUAAGCAUGCUUCUCACCUUCUCAACAAUGGUGCGGUUCAUCCUCUCAGCUGCACUAUUGUGCCGUGGGGUUCCAGGAACUGGCUUUUCAUGUCUGAUCCCAUGGCUCGAAGAGUACUCUUCAAAUUCCCUUGAAGUGUACUCACCUCCAUUGUUACUUCAGAGACGGUUUAGCUUUUCACACGUCUCCCUUUCCACCAAAGCAUGAAACUUCUGGAAAACUUGAAAUACCUGAUCUUUGGUUUUCAAAAUAUAAAUCCACAAUUUUCGUGAAGCAUCAUCAAUAAAAGUAACAAAAUACUUAUUACCGCCUAUCGAUUCAAUUUCCAUUAGACCACAAACAUUAGAAUAUACCAAAUCAAGAAUAUUCAAUUUUUUCAGACAAUGUCUGAAACGAGACUCUAUGUUGCUUACCAAAUAAAUAGUAGUCACAAGGUCUUACCGUUAUACCUUUGGCAAAAGAGAUAAGUGAUUUCCUAGCAAGAAUCUGCAAUCCUUUCUCGCUCAUAUGACCCAUUCUUUUGUGCUACACGUCUGCAGAAAUAUCAUCUUGUGUCGUAUUCAAUUCACCUCGGCAUAUUUCUGCAUUUGUCUUAUACAACGUGCCACGAUCAACUCCCUUUGCAAUCACCAAUGAUCCCUUGGUGAGUCUCCACUUUAGAUUUGCAAAAUAGUUCUCAUAUCCAUCUCGAUCUAAAGUUAUUCCUGAGAUUAAGUUCAUCCACAAAUCAGGUACAUAUUACACGUUCUUUAGAACCAAUGUGCAUCCGACAUUUUUCUUGAUACAAAUGUCACCGAUCCCUGCAAUAUCUAAGUAACUCGUGUUACCCAUUUUCACAGUGCUGAAAUCACCUACUACACAUCUGCAAAAAAAAUUCUCUUACCUGUGUGGCAUGAUAAAAUGCAGCCAUGUCAACCACCCAUUCCGACUCUGGACCUGUCAAGUGUAUGAAUUCCUCUUCCUCAUUUAUAAAGAGAACAACAUUAUCAUUGUUUUAAACCAUGGCGGUUGUGCUGUCGUUAUUCUUCUAGACACUACUUUCACCUUUGCUCUUUCUUAGAUUUGGGCAAUCUCUUUUGAAGUGACCCGGUUGAUCACAAUUGUAUCAAUUCCUGGCUUUUGAUUUGGAUCGGUUCUUGGACUUCCCACGACCUCCGGAUCUACCAUAGUUACUCGAACUCCUUUAAUUUGAUAACUCCUACCUCUACCUUCUGUGAUGAGAGUCUCUCCUUGAUUUUCAGGUUUCUUUCUCAUCUUCUCAUUGAGUAUAAAAGUCGAUGUGACAUCCUUCAACUCAAUAGUGGUUUUUCCGUACAUGAAGGUUGUUGCCAAACAAUUAUAUUAUCGUACGAGAUGGAAAUGAGUUUAAGAGCAAGAUGGCUUUAUCCUCUUACUCGAUCUUUACUCCGAGUUUGGCAAGCUGCAUGAUUAGUCCAUUAAAUACAUUUAUAUAUGACAAAAUAUUUGUACUUUUGCCCAUAUGUAGAACGUAUAAUUGCUUCUUCAGGUACAAUUUAUUUAUCAACAUUUUUUAAAUGUAUAGGCUUUCCAACCUUGUCCAAAUGCCACAUGUAGUAUCUUCAUCAAUAAUGUUAUUUAUCAUAUCAUCUGAUAAGUGCAAUCUGAUUACAUUAGCAGCCUUUUCAUCCAAGUCAGCCCAAUCCUCAGCUUUCAUGGUAUCAGACUUCUUGGCAUCACUGUG
rnacentral:lncRNA from 1 species